rnacentral:lncRNA from 1 species
UUUUGAGGAUUUUUGUUGGAAUUGUGUUAAACUUACCCAUAGACUUGUGAAGAUCUGACAUUUAAAUUAGAAAUCUUCUCAUCUGGGAAUAUGUCAUGUCUGUUGUAUGUGUGUGUGUGUGUGUGUGUGGUGAGGAGAGUUCUUUAGGAAUUUUUAAAAACAUGUAU